AACUCUAUUAAUAAAUUAAUAUUUGUGAACCAAGUGAAUUGAAAUAUCUUAGUAACUUCAGGAAAAAAAAUCAAAAGAGAUUUUUAAAGUAGUGUGAAUGAAAAAAAAAAUUGUCUAGAAGUAAAAUGGAAAAUUAAUCUGUUUGAAAAUUAGGGGAACCUUCCUCUAAGACUAAAUAUAACAUAUAAGCGAUAGAGAUAGUACCGUGAGGGGAAUUAUUGAAAUAGAAGUUUUAUAAGCAGCUCGAAGUUUUAUACAAGAGCGUACCUUUUGCAUAAUGGGUCAGCAAGUUAAUAUUUGAUGCGAGCAUAAAAGCGUAGGUAAAUCAAUUAAGAUUUAGUAAUAUAGUUUCAAAUAUUAGACCCGAAAGCUAGUGAUCUUACCAUGACCAGGAUUGUAAAAGUCCGAACGGGUUAUUGUUGCACAAAUAUCCGAGGAGUUGUGGUAAGUUAGUGAAAGACAAUACUGACUAGCAUAGCUGGUUUUCUGCGAAACCUAUUUAAGUAGGUAAUUUAAUUGUAAUAUUGGAAGGUACAGAAUUGUGAUCUCAUACAAUGUUUUUAUUGUUAAUAAUAAUAAUAAAAUUUUGUUUAUAUUGGGGGGUCGUAGAGACUUUAUCAGUGAGUUUUUGUUCUCGGAAGAGCCAAAUAUAUGUGUUAAAUAAUCGGACAUAGUGCGCCAAGGUUGUAUGUCAAAAGGGAAACAGCCCAGAACAAGAGUUAAUAAGGUUCCAAAAUUAUUUUUAAGUGAAAUUAAGAAAGUAUUUAUUUUAGACGAUCAGAAAAUAGGCUUAGAAGCGGCCACUUUUUGAAGAACUCGUAACAGAGCACUGGUUUAACAUUAUAAGACAUUAAUAUUUAAUUAAUGUUAAAAUAAUAGGUAAAGCAUUUAAGAUUUAGUGGAUCUAAAUAAUAUACCGAAACCUUGUCUACAUAUGUAGAUUUAUAUAUAUGUAAAUUGAGCACAUGUAGGGUAGCAGAACUUUGAGUAUGUUUGCCUAAAUUGUAAUUUAUGUAUGGCGUACGUAUUUUUUAUUAAUAAAAAUACGAAGUGAUAUCUCAAGUGAUAAUGCUGACAUGAGUAACGAUAAAGAGAAUUGUUUAAUAACUAAUAUUAUUACAAAUCUCUUCGCCUAAAGCUUAUGGUAUUUAUUAAAGUCACGGCCUCUAAGUUAUAUUAUGUUAAGCUAUAAUAUUUACAUUUCAAUGUGUAGCUUUUGUACAUAUUGUAUUAUACGUCUGUAUUAUAUAUCGUAUCAUACAUAUUGUAAUGUAAAUAUUAUAUUAAUCAAAAGAAAUAAACGAUGAGUAAAACUAUAGUGUACAGAAAGCAACGUAUCAAUGAAAAACUAGAUUUUAAUAAGUUGUAUCUAUACAGCGUCUAAAAUUUAGAGUAUUAUGUGAUGUGGUAUGUUCUGGAAAACUGUUAACUUGGCUGAUAAAGCAAUAAAUGUGUUUAUUUUCAGUUAAUAAUGUAUAUAUAAAUGUGUAGUGUUAAUAAAAAAAAUUAUAUGUUUAAACUAAAAAUACCGUACCUAGAUACUGAUCAAAAGUAAGCAAGUAGAAAAUACGAAGGCGUUCGAGUGAUUAAUCAUUAAGGAACUCGGCAAAUUGACUCCGUAACUUAGGGAUAAGGUGUGCCAUUGCUCUUUAUUAAUAUAAAGUCAGUAAUAGGACGCAUGGAAAAGUGUUGUACGACUGUUUAAUUAAAACAAAGCACUUUGCAAAGAAGUAAAUUCAAAGUAUUGAGUGUGAUAUCUGCCCGAUGGCGCACGGUUAUCGGAUUUUCUUAGUUUUUAACUAGGUUUUGAAGGAACCCUCGUUCAAUGGCGGCCUUAUCUAUGAGGGUCCUAAGGUAGCGGAAUACCUUGGCCGUUAAAUGCGGUCUUUGCAUGAAUGAUUUAACGAUACAACAGCUGUCUCUAUGAUUAGCUCGGUGAAAUUAUAAUAACUGUGCAGAUACAGUUUACCUCUAGUUAGACGAGAAGACCCUAUGCAGCUUUACCAUAACUAGUUAUUGAGUAUAAUAUAAAAAGUUGUAGUGUAUAAGGUAAUUGACAUAUGAAAUUGAAACACCUUUACUUUCCUUGUUAUACAAUAUUUAUUGUAGUAAAUUCUUAUUACAAUAACCUGAAAAACAAUUUAAAUGUAAAUUUAAAUUGAAAGGAACAAUUGCUAGGUGGUGGUUUAUGCGGGGCACAGAUCCCAUAAAAAGUAUCUGGGAAUAUCCAAAUUAAUGAUGAUUAUUUUACUUACUAAGUUUAACGGCUUAAUCUUGCUUUACUGUUUGACUGACAAGUCUUUCAGUCGCGUAAGCGGGGCAUAUGAUCACAAGACGCAUUAAGGAAGGGUCUUGUAUUAAUGAAAAAGUUACGCUAGGGAUAACAGGCUAAUUGCGCAAGAGAGUACAAAUUGAGUGCGCAGUUUGGCACCUCGAUGUCGGCUUAGCUCAUCCACAUGAAAGUAGAAGUUAUGAAGGGUUGGACUGUUCGUCCAUUAAAGAGCUACACGAGCUGGGUUAAAUACGUCGUGAGACAGUAUGGUUUCUAUCUUCUAGAGGAAAUUAGAAUAAAAUAAGAAUAGCCCCUUGUACGAAAGGAGUUGGGUAUGCUAACCUAUGGCUUACCUGUUGUUUAACUGCUUAUAUUAACAAAACUUUUAAUUAUUAUUUUAAUUAAUUGUUGUGAUCUAUAACUUAAUAAUUAAUCGCGCAAACCUUUUAAUUUUUUAAGUUGUACUGAGGUUUACUUUACAUCAGAGUUUUACCGUGUGUUGUAAUAAACUAAAAAGAUGAAUUGCACAUUCCUACGUUAGGCAUGGCAGGAACGCUACGUUAGUUAAAGAUAAGCGCUGAAAGCAUAUAAGUGCGAAACAUAUCUUAAGAUAUUCAUAAAUAUAUGUAGUAUAUUACUACAACUUUAAAAUUUUUAUUUUUAAUUUUUGUUUAAAGAUGUUAUGCAAUUUGUAUUACAGUUUAAACGAAGACAAUUUUAUUUAAUUUUAAUUAAUAGGCUUAAGUUGCAAUAACAUAUAUGUUUUUAGGCAUUAAGUACUAAUUUU
rnacentral:rRNA from 1 species